rnacentral:rRNA from 1 species
GCUUGCUCUUCUUGGAUGAGUUGCGAACGGGUGAGUAACGCGUAGGUAACCUGCCUUGUAGCGGGGGAUAACUAUUGGAAACGAUAGCUAAUACCGCAUAACAAUGGAUGACACAUGUCAUUUAUUUGAAAGGGGCAAUUGCUCCACUACAAGAUGGACCUGCGUUGUAUUAGCUAGUAGGUGAGGUAACGGCUCACCUAGGCGACGAUACAUAGCCGACCUGAGAGGGUGAUCGGCCACACUGGGACUGAGACACGGCCCAGACUCCUACGGGAGGCAGCAGUAGGGAAUCUUCGGCAAUGGGGGCAACCCUGACCGAGCAACGCCGCGUGAGUGAAGAAGGUUUUCGGAUCGUAAAGCUCUGUUGUAAGUCAAGAACGAGUGUGAGAGUGGAAAAUUCACACUGUGACGGUAGCUUACCAGAAAGGGACGGCUAACUACGUGCCAGCAGCCGCGGUAAUACGUAGGUCCCGAGCGUUGUCCGGAUUUAUUGGGCGUAAAGCGAGCGCAGGCGGUUUGAUAAGUCUGAAGUUAAAGGCUGUGGCUCAACCAUAGUUCGCUUUGGAAACUGUCAAACUUGAGUGCAGAAGGGGAGAGUGGAAUUCCAUGUGUAGCGGUGAAAUGCGUAGAUAUAUGGAGGAACACCGGUGGCGAAAGCGGCUCUCUGGUCUGUAACUGACGCUGAGGCUCGAAAGCGUGGGGAGCGAACAGGAUUAGAUACCCUGGUAGUCCACGCCGUAAACGAUGAGUGCUAGGUGUUGGAUCCUUUCCGGGAUUCAGUGCCGCAGCUAACGCAUUAAGCACUCCGCCUGGGGAGUACGACCGCAAGGUUGAAACUCAAAGGAAUUGACGGGGGCCCGCACAAGCGGUGGAGCAUGUGGUUUAAUUCGAAGCAACGCGAAGAACCUUACCAGGUCUUGACAUCCCGAUGCUAUUUCUAGAG